rnacentral:lncRNA from 1 species
CACCAGUGUAGGUCCUCACUGGGAAUGACAGGACACUGUGUUUGUUCAGGAAUGAAAAUGCACCUGGAACCCUGAGAACAGUGGGAGAUAGCAUUCUCAGUUGGAUUUUAGGGAAGAUUUCUUCUCAGAAAGAGCAGUGAGGCGUUGGAAUGAGCUGCCCAGGGACUGGGUGGCAUCACCAUCCCAGGAGGUGUCCAAGAACCAUGGAGAUGUGGCACCAAGGGACAUGACACUAAAUUGCAGCCACAAGAACCAAGAGUUACAUAAAGCGCCCUCUUAUCAUCGCGGCUCCUCAGAUUCUUC